rnacentral:lncRNA from 1 species
GCAACCUCAACAAUCCUGGGCCAGUCCCAUUCUUUUUGGAUGUGGAAAUUGAGCCUGCCCAGGAUUGCUUGGCUGAGAGGCUGCCGUGUUGGGAUUUGCUCCUGACUUGCAACCACCUGACUCCACAGGGAUGAGGCAGUAGAGACAGCCCUGCCCCAUCCUCAGUAUCCUGGGAAUGUGUUGGAGGGUAUGGGUGGCCCCGACUGGGACACUGGGAUGACGGUUGGAAACAAGGGAGAAAGGGAAAUUGAGGCCCCUGAGAGCAAGAAAGCUGCCUCAAGCCUACAGACUUCCAGAUGGAAUUUCGUUUCCCUCUCAGGACUUUGAGCAGAGAACCAUCAGCACCCUCUCUUCCAGCAGCACCGUCUCUCCCAGCCCUUCGAAGCUCCCACCGGACCCAUCACAUCUUCUCCCCUCUACAGUCCUGCUAGGUUGGAACCACUGCACCAGCUGCCCUGGGAUGCCAGGAGUGGGACAGGCUUGGGUGUCCUUCCCACCCUACCUCUGAGGGUCCCCACCCUAAGCCUCGCCCCUCCAAACCUCAGCUUUCCUUUCUGUGCAUUGGGAUAGUGCUCCACACCCCUCUCCUGUGUCUGAGGGUCCCCAGGGGUGGGGUUGGAUGGGCAGGGAACACAGCCCCCAGCCUGUCCAACCGAAUUCCUCCCCUCUUCCCUUGCUGUGGCCCCCACAACACCAGCAGGCAGGGGUUGCCAUUGGUCCCAUUUUCCAGAAGAACAAACUGAGUCUCAAGGCAGGGGAUGGCUUGUCUGAGGUCCCACCGGGAGCAAGGGGUGGAGGUGGAAUUAACACAGGUCUGUGCUCGGGAUGUUUCGCCAUGAAGGGGGAUAAGGGAGAUCCAGAGAGAGGUCGAAAGGAAGGGAAGGGGUGAGGCCUCUCCACACAGCCACUUCUCACAUCCUGGGUUAACGAUCCACUCGGGUGGGGCCCGAGUCCGGCCAAAGUCCCUUCCCGGGGCCCCAAUACCCACUUUCAAGGUCCCAGGGGACACAGAGACAGCAACAGAGAUGGGGAGACAGAGACAGAGGGCGGGGCAGGAGACAACCAGAGGGAGGUCAGGCAAGUUUCGAAGACAGAAGGAGACCGGGGGAGAGAACCAGAGAGACGCCGCGUGCCCCCUGGGCAAGUCCGGGGUGCAGCCCCCAUGCCCCGCCCCCUGUGUCCCCAAAGCCUCCCUCUCCGCCUCCUGUGACUCAGUGACCCGGACUCAACCCCAGCGGCUGCCCCGCCCCCAGGGAAAUCCGGGAAAGCCCCGGACCUUCGGGGCCCCACCCCGGGGCGGGGAGAGGGAGAGGAGGGGAGGAGACGGGGAAGAGUCCCGCCUCCCUCCUCCCUCCCUCCCAUCUCCAGCCUGAGUCAUGCCCCCAACCCGCCUAGCC